UACAGCUUUUCUUUUUCCUCGGAAUAAACCCUUCACCCUCUACACAACAAAAACUUCACUCAGCACAACAAACCCUUCACUAUGUUUUGAGAAGAACUCAAAAAAUGGCGGUUAGCCGAGUUUUUCUCAAUUAAGUCCUACGCCCAUCUCAAAUUCUGUUGUUCUUCUUAACAUCUUGAGGGUUGGGAUUGAUAUUCUGAAAAUUUAAGCUCGAUUCGAGCAUCUUUCGAUUGAAGGAGAUGCAUAUGUUGGAUCUGGGGCACUACCUACACAGUGGAAUGCAACUAUCAACUUUGUACUUAAGUUCUAUGUUGUUUAAUUUCGCUACGCGAAGUGAGGUACUUGUUCUUAUCGAACUCUUUCUUUUUUGUAUGUUUAAAUGUCAUAGGGAGCUCUUGAAAAAAUCAAGAUUGUCCCAUCGAAGAAAAGGGUCAUCAAGAUACUUCGUGAUGUAAGUGGAAUAGUAAAACCAUCAAGGAUGUCACUACUUCUUGGGCCUCCAGGAGGUGGAAAACUACAUUGCUAAAGGCGCUUGCUGCAGUGCCUGACAAAGAUCUAAGAGUUGCUGGAAAAAUCAGUUAUUGUGGUCAUGAACUGUCAGAGUUUAUUCCUCAACGGACAUGUGCUUAUAUUAGUCAGCAUGAUCUUCAUCAUGGAGAGAUGACAGUCAGAGAGACGUUGGAUUUUGCUGGACGUAGUGUAGGAGUUCGAACGAGAUAUGAGCUCCUCGCAGAACUGUCAAGGCGCGAAAAGGAAUUGGGAAUCAAACCAGAUCCCGAGAUAGAUGUACUUAUGAAAGCUACCGCAGUUGCAGGCCAAGAAUCAAGUCUAGUCACCGGCUAUGUUCUUAAGAUUUUUGGGCUGGAUACCUGUGCGGAUAUAAUGAUAGGUGAUCAGAUGAGAAGAGGAUAAAAUGGAGGCCGUCAUAGCUACUGCAAGAUCAUCAGAUGAUUCUCCAGAAGAUCAAGAACUCGAUAUAAAUCGCAUAUACUUUGAUGUUCCGGUGGGAGCGAAAAAACGACGUGUGUAUGGAUUGGGCUCUCAAGCUUCAACCUCAAAUAAAGAUAUGACGUGCAAUUUUCCUGUAGUGUCCGAUCAUGUUGCCAAAGAGCGCAUCAAAAUACUUGAGAAAGAGAUGUUGUAUAUGAGAGAAAAUCAAGAGAGAGUUCUUCAAGAGCGUGUAGAGUUGGAGGUGCAGCAACGAGUAGAGCAAGAGAUUUCCCGUUUGAGGCAACAAAGUGAUGAUCAAUUCAAAUCUAUGGAGGAGCAAUGGUCUCGCAUGAUGAGCGAUAUGGCAUUAUCUUCUCGCUCAUUUUGUAAUCCUGCUCUCCCUAAUAGGGGCUCAUCUAAUACUUAAGUGUUUAAUAUUUUGAGAACUUUAGUUCUUGAAGUGUCGACUUGAACAUUGUCACACUUUUUUGGAUAGUUAUAUGCUUUAAAUGUUAAACAUUGGUAGACUUUUGCUUAUUGAAGUUGUGAUUUUGCAUGUUUUAA